rnacentral:rRNA from 1 species
GCAAGUCGAGCGGAUGAAGUGAGCUUGCUCAUGGAUUCAGCGGCGGACGGGUGAGUAAUGCCUAGGAAUCUGCCUGGUAGUGGGGGACAACGUUUCGAAAGGAACGCUAAUACCGCAUACGUCCUACGGGAGAAAGCAGGGGACCUUCGGGCCUUGCGCUAUCAGAUGAGCCUAGGUCGGAUUAGCUAGUUGGUGGGGUAAUGGCUCACCAAGGCGACGAUCCGUAACUGGUCUGAGAGGAUGAUCAGUCACACUGGAACUGAGACACGGUCCAGACUCCUACGGGAGGCAGCAGUGGGGAAUAUUGGACAAUGGGCGAAAGCCUGAUCCAGCCAUGCCGCGUGUGUGAAGAAGGUCUUCGGAUUGUAAAGCACUUUAAGUUGGGAGGAAGGGCAGUAAGCGAAUACCUUGCUGUUUUGACGUUACCGACAGAAUAAGCACCGGCUAACUCUGUGCCAGCAGCCGCGGUAAUACAGAGGGUGCAAGCGUUAAUCGGAAUUACUGGGCGUAAAGCGCGCGUAGGUGGUUCGUUAAGUUGGAUGUGAAAGCCCCGGGCUCAACCUGGGAACUGCAUCCAAAACUGGCGAGCUAGAGUAUGGUAGAGGGUGGUGGAAUUUCCUGUGUAGCGGUGAAAUGCGUAGAUAUAGGAAGGAACACCAGUGGCGAAGGCGACCACCUGGACCGAUACUGACACUGAGGUGCGAAAGCGUGGGGAGCARACAGGAUUAGAUACCCUGGUAGUCCACGCCGUAAACGAUGUCAACUAGCCGUUGGGGUCCUUGAGACUUUAGUGGCGCAGCUAACGCAUWAAGUUGACCGCCUGGGGAGUACGGCCGCMAGGUUAAAACUCAAAUGAAUUGACGGGGGCCCGCACAA